CUCUGCUCUCUCUGGAGCCACCAUGUGAUCCCGGGAAGAGGACACCAGCUGAAAGCAUCCUCGAAGACAUGAGAAGUUGUUGCUGGCUAGCGUGAGACAGAACCACAGUGCCAUGGCCACGUGCUGAUGGUGUGCAUAUUGUGGCCAUUGCCAGGACCCAUGCUUUCACCUGGAGUUUGAUGAGAAGGCCAUGGCAGGUUUUGAGUUGACACACCAGAGAAAAUUCAGCAUGGAUUCUAUGUGAAGAAGGCUUGGUAAAAAGAUCACUGUCAGCUGGACAGAUUCAAGACAGUUGGCUUCAGUGGACACGGUUGUGGAGGAAUCUCGGCUUCUUCUAGCAAUGGCCACAGUUCUGACAUCGUUCGUACCAGGCCUUCCCCUGCCACUGUCCUGGUGGGGAGAAAAGGGGAGGCUGCUGGCAGGGUAGGAGUGGGCAUUGUGCGUGGGCACUCUGGGGGUGGAAUGCAGUGUUUUCUGUGUUGUUUUGUAAAAUAUGACAACUGUAACUUUCUGAUCUUGCUAUGGGACCCUGUCUUGGUUCUUUGGUUGAAACACAUUGGAAUUGUACAACUGGCGGCUUCUUCAGUUCUAAGUGCAUGACACAUGCAACAAAACUGAACAAGCUAGGGUCCUGCGCAUUGGCUCCAUCCUCAGUCCUAAACUGCUUAGCCAGGCUGUGCUUUUGACCUUCCAGAGUGUUUUUUGUUUGUGAGUUAGUUAGUUUGUUUUUCUUUUAUAUAUAAUAUUGAAGGUUUUAGUUGUAGUUAAAGUAAACAUAGGAAAAAGUAUGUAUUCCAUCAUCCAUAGGGGAAGGAAACUUACUUAUCAUUUUGAAAAUAAUAAUAAAGAACAAUAAUCUUGAGACAGAAUUUCAUAUGGUAUUCCAGGCGAGCCUUAACCUCUUAGUGACUGUUCUGCUUCAGACCCCUCAGUGAAAGGACCAGAUGUUCACCACCAUACCCUGCUUAAAAUGUAAAAUAUUUGUUUAACCAAAUAUUUAAAUAAAAUUCAGGAGACUGGAGAGAUGGCUCAGUGGUUAAGAGCACAGGCUGCUCUUCCAGAAGUCCCAGGUUCAGUUCUUACCACCCACAAAGUGGCUCACAACAGCCUGUACUUCCAGGGAAUCCAGGGCCUUCUCUGGUCUCCGUAGGCACUGCAUACAAGGACAUACAUGCAGGCAAAGUACCUCUACAUAUGAAAAUAAAUCCUUAAAAAAUGAAACGGA
rnacentral:lncRNA from 1 species